rnacentral:lncRNA from 1 species
UAGAACUCUUCUGGAGAGCCAUGAAAGAUUCAUGAAGGCCAAGUGAGGAUGUGCGCUGCAGGGUAAAGGCUAGGCGGGCAGCAGCAAGGCCGGCGAGGUCUGGCCCUAGGCAGGGAGCCCGCAGGAGCAGCCGAGCCCCAACCCCGGCCGCGGGAGAGGGGUGCCUCCACACCAUGCCCUCACCGAGGGAGGAGGAGGAGGGGCGCCCUGUGCCUGUCCCAGGGCGUGGAAGGAGAAGCGUGGCCCAGGAGCAGAAGGAAGACUCUGGAAGGCCCUGGACGGCGUUCAGAAAGCUGAGGAUGGCCCAGGAAGAAUAAAGAGAUGAGUUCUGUGGCCACAGGUCCCUUGGGAGAAGCAGGGGGGCAAGGUAAUCCUGGAGCCAAGGGCAGUAUCAUGAUGUCAGGAGUCCCCGGGUGAGCUGACUGUCCCAGGAGGACUGCCAGGGCAAGCUGGGAGUUCUGCGGUGCCGCAAAUAAUCAC